rnacentral:rRNA from 1 species
UACGUAGGGAGCAAGCGUUGUCCGGAUUUAUUGGGCGUAAAGAGCUCGUAGGCGGCUUAGAAAGUCAGGUGUGAAAACUCUGGCUUAACCCAGAGACGCCACUUGAUACUUCUAUGGCUUGAGUUCGGUAGGGGACCAUGGAAUUCCUGGUGUAGCGGUGAAAGUGACGCAGAUAUCAGGAGGAACACCGAUGGCGAAGGCAGUGGUCUGGGCCGAUACUGACGCUGAGGAGCGAAAGCGUGGGGAGCGAACAGG